rnacentral:rRNA from 1 species
AAGUCUGGCCUGCCCACUGAAGUAAUUUAAAGGGCCGCGGUAAUUUGACCGUGCGAAGGUAGCAUAAUCAAUAGUCUCUUAAUUGGAGGCUGGAAUGAAUGGUCGGACAAGGAGUGGACUGUCUUUUUCUUAUCUUAUGAAUUUACUUUUAAGUGAAAAGGCUUAAAUAUACUUGGGGGACGAUAAGACCCUAUAAAACUUUACAGUAUAGUUUAUAUUUUAUGAAAUAAAAUUUAAUGUUGGUUAUGAGUUAUCUGUUAUGUUGGGGUGACAAAGAUAUAAUUAGUAACUGUCAGACAAUGGUAAUAAUAAUAAUUAGAUUAAUUGAUCCUUUAUUAGAGAUUAUAAGAUUAAGUUACUUUAGGGAUAACAGCGUAAUUUUCUUUGAGAGUUCUUAUCGACAAGAAUAGUUGCGACCUCGAUGUUGAAUUAAGAUUUCUUUUAAAUGUAGCAGUUUAAUCAGUAGGUCUGUUCGACCUUG